UACGUAGGGGGCCAGCGUUGUCCGGAAUCAUUGGGCGUAAAGAGCGUGUAGGCGGUCCGGUAAGUCCGCUGUGAAAGUCGGGGGCUCAACCCUCGAAUGCCGGUGGAUACUGUCGGGCUAGAGUGCGGAAGAGGCGAGUGGAAUCCUGGUGUAGCGGUGAAAUGCGCAGAUAUCAGGAGGAACACCUAUUGCGAAGGCAGCUCGCUGGGACGUAACUGACGCUGAGACGCGAAAGCGUGGGGAGCAAACAGG
rnacentral:rRNA from 1 species